GCAUCCGUAUUGAUCUCAACAGGGUGGGC
rnacentral:sRNA from 1 species